rnacentral:tRNA from 1 species
AGAGAGGUGUCCGAGUGGUUGAAGGAGCACGCCUGGAAAGUGUGUAAACGUGCAAGCGUUUCGAGGGUUCGAAUCCCUUCCUCUCUGCCA